UAUUAAAAAUUUCAUCUAUUUCUAUUGUUAAAAACUGGUGACAGAAUAACCAGAUAGUUACAUGUGGUGUAUAUCGAGUAGUUUUUAAUAGUAGAAAUGGAUGAAAUUUUUAAUA
rfam:Gossypium hirsutum cultivar TM-1 unplaced genomic scaffold scaffold2167.1, whole genome shotgun sequence